rnacentral:rRNA from 1 species
AGCGAACGCUGGCGGCAGGCCUAACACAUGCAAGUCGAACGAACUCUUCGGAGUUAGUGGCGGACGGGUGAGUAACACGUGGGAACGUGCCUUUUGGUUCGGAAUAACUCAGGGAAACUUGUGCUAAUACCGAAUGUGCCCUUCGGGGGAAAGAUUUAUCGCCAUUAGAGCGGCCCGCGUCUGAUUAGCUAGUUGGUGAGGUAACGGCUCACCAAGGCGACGAUCAGUAGCUGGUCUGAGAGGAUGACCAGCCACACUGGGACUGAGACACGGCCCAGACUCCUACGGGAGGCAGAAGUGGGGAAUCUUGCGCAAUGGGCGAAAGCCUGACGCAGCCAUGCCGCGUGAAUGAUGAAGGUCUUAGGAUUGUAAAAUUCUUUCACCGGGGACGAUAAUGACGGUACCCGGAGAAGAAGCCCAGGCUAACUUCGUG